AAAAAAUUAUUAUUGAAAGCUAUAUGGUGGCACACAUACUACUUUGUGAGCUAUUUCCAUUAGUAAAACAAAUAACAGUCAAGAGUCUUAAUGAAUGUUUUGAAUUGUUAGUGAAUUUAUGUAGAGAAAAAUUCAAAGAUUCAUUUAUAUCAAGUAGUAAUGAACAUCUCCCAUCACUGUUGUUAUGAUCUAUAAUAUGGGACACUGAACACUGUAUUUUCAGUUCAUACUGAUUGAUCCUUCCCUACUUCUGCUAAUUUAAACUGUCCUUUUAGGGAGAAAGCUAACGAUUAAAAUAUUACGUCUUGAUUUUUGUCAAUAAUUCUGGAAACAUUUGUUUGUUAUGUUUUUUUGAAGACUAUUAAUAAAAAGAGAAAUUACUUAUUGAGUUAUGAUUCAUGUUCCUCCAGAAGAACAGUAACUCAGCAUCUGAUGAGGUGAACCAAAAAAGUGGAAAGAAUUCGUUUCUAUGUAUCUGUUCAGAUGCAAAGCUGACCUAUUAUCUUUUUUGAAGAGGGCUCUUUUCUUUCAGGACCUAAGAUUGUAGUGGCAACUAUCUGGUCAGUAAGUGAUAAAAUCCCAUUUCUAUGCACCCAUUGGCCUGUAGACUUCUCUCUUUUUUUUAAAUGCACCUCAAGGUUAACAACUGACUUUUGUUAAUGAUGGGAUUAAUCCUCCUGGGUCUGUGCACAACACAGAUGAUUUGCAUAUCUUAUCUUGGCCACUGCUAGGGUGGACUUUUAGUAACUACUUCUCCUAGGGAAAAAAAAUAGAAAGAGAAGGAUGAUGUGUCUCCUUGGUGGCUCUAAAGGAAGUCAUCCCUCCUUGUGGGACCAUAUCUUUGCAGGCAGUGGACUUGGUCUUCAGACAAAAUCUAUCAAUGGGAGACCGCACCCCAGAGACAAUCAGGAUGCCCACUUGUCUGCAGUUUCUAAGCACUGUCCAAUUUUUACUGCAAUUCACACGUAAUUUUAUACAUGCAAUAUUAUCUCAUAUACGUGUGUGUGUAUGCGUACAUAUACAUAUAUGUAAAGAUUUUGCAAAUACUGGGCUCCGUAACAUUUUCGGGGUCACAGAUGGAAGGAGCAAAGCUAAAAGAAAAACUAGCAAAGUCCUGUUAUGCAAGAGAUAAAUUAUACAGUCUUUUUUUUUUUUGCUGCUAGGAUUCAGUGUAGUUUCUAAACUUUCUAAGCCACAGUUUACUCAGUUAUAAAAUAGAGACAGUAAAAUGAUUUAUCUCAUAAGUCUGCAGAUGAGAUAAAACCUAAAAAAUCUUUCAGCCCAGCCUAGUACCUAGAAAGAACCCAGUAAAUGUUAGCGGCUGUGGCGGGCUUGCUAUAUGCUAUAAAUUAUGACUUAAGAGACGCUGUGCUUAAUAGAUUGGAUAUGCUCCUUUGCAUCAUGCUUAGAAGGUUGGAUUGUCCUGUGCAAAGAUUUAUAUAAAUAUAAACCAGGUGUCUCACACUUAUUCAGCCUUCAGGGGUGGGUCAUGCUUCCCUUUAAUGCCUAAAUAGCAAUAGCCCAUGUCCCUUUGUGUAUUACGGCAGAAAAUCUAGUCUUUUAUGGGGUUUCUCUCCCCAAGUACUUCUGGGAACCUCUAGAAAAUGCUUACAUAUCCCACAACUUUGUAUGUCAUAGUUGCCUAUUACGUUUCAGCAAACCAUCUGAUUCUAGAAGCCUGCAGCAUGAUUCCAUACUCAUGCCUUGUUUUCUUUGUUCUGGCUUCCUUGGCCAGAUGUUUGUGCCCCCACUGUUCAAGAUUGGGUCUAUCCUUUGGUCCCCAACAAUAUAGUAAGACCUGGAUUCAAUGAGCAUGAAUUUCACUGUAGCCUGCAGGACACAGAAUGCAUGUCCACGCAGGAAGUAUUGCACUCGUCCAUUCUCUACUGCACAAUGCUGCUUUGUGAACAACCACAAAGCUCAGAGGCUGGCACGGACAGUCAGUUCUUGCUCAUGGUCCUGCUGGUCUGCGCAGGCUCAGCUGGGGGCUGCGGGGACCAGCAGCAUAUGGCUCUAGGCUGUGAGUUAAGUCUAGCUUAGCUGCUUGCAUCGCCUCAUUCUGGGACUCCUGGUGAUAUGGAGCACAUUCCUCUCCUGACAAAUGGAAGAUGCUCAGGGGACCAAGACACAUCACAGAAGUCCACAUAAAACCUCUGUCACAGCACGUCUGCUAAAUUUCCAUUGGCUCAAGCAAGUCAAUCACGACCAGAGGCGGAGGCCAAGGCACAUGCAGUGCGCGUUAAGUCACAGGGCAAAGGGGUGGAUCACCCCAUGACCACAGAGAGAGAAGAGGAAGAGUGACCUCCUAACACUGAAUUCAAGCUAUUUCUAUGGGAAGAGGCAUCUUGUUGGCUGGCCAUCUUUUUUUAAAUUCCCAUCAUCAAUAUGCCCAAGAAACCCUGGAAGCUCUGGUCUCAGUGAGGAUUUGCCACUGCCAAAUGUUUCAAGAGAUAGGUCUGCAAAAAGUUGCAGCUAAUUUAAGAAACCUCAAGAGGCAAAGAGGCUGAUGGAAGCCAGCAAAGGUUGAAAUCACAUAUUUCUAGACAGAGGGUGAUGAUGCUGACCGGGAAGAAGAAAGACUAAAGGUUUACGGGACAAAAGAAACUUUACUUAAUUCCCUUAACGUUCAUAAAGGGACAAGAGUCCCCAUUUAGAGUUACUUCAGUUUAUUACAUCUUAAAAUAUUAAUUUGGAAUUAAAAUAAAAAGUUAGCAUGUGUUUGAACAGACUGGGUGGCUUUUAUAAGAAAAUGGAUGGAAAAUCAUACCUUGUUUUGACUUUCCUGUAAUUUCAAAGGCUUUCAUGGAAAAGAUUUAGUGUUAUUAAGGGGGGCCCUCAAUAAUUAUUAAAAUGUGUUAAAGUAUAGCUUCAAAUGUUUCAAUAAGCUCUGCAGCUAAGAACCUCUAUUAUCACCUGUCAUGUGCCCCACACCCCAAAUUUACAAAUGAAGGAAUCAAAACCUUGUACUUUUCACUAAUGAGGUGGUGGCACUGAAUGAGUGACUAAGCUGAUGAUCCCACUGCCAUCAGAUCCAAACCCAGAAAUAUAUCUCACCUGCAAGGCUUCAGCACAAAGGCUGAUUUGCUGAGUUAAGUACAUGUAUCAGGACUAAGGUUUCAUAGCAUUUAUUAGAGGAGGGAGAGUGAAUGUCAGGCAAAGUCUAUUGUGCUGCAGAAAAUCACAAGUCCCUCUGAAGAGAGUGCCUCAAGAUGAAUGGGGGAAAAAAGCCAAAAAGAUUUGAGUUAGAAAAAAGCAAGGCAGUCAACGGUAACUAGAACUCGAAGCCAGACAAAAUCAAUCUAAUGAUCUUUCUCAAAAAGGACCUGGCUGUUAGUGCUUCCAUCAACCCAAAGUUCUUCAACGGUCAUUAUUGAUAUCUACCCACUUCAGAAAUACGUCUGGAGGGUAUUUCUGCCUAAAGUGAUAAAUCAAAGUAACAGAAAAUACUUUUAA